UAGAGAAAGAAAGAGUACCCUACCUUGGGUAGGCACAUUGAGCAUCCAUUGUUGGGUUGUGACCAGCUUUGGAGGCAACCUCCACGCGCUGGAGUGAGCGGAUGUCGAUGGGCGUCCACUCAAGCAAUACCGGUAUACGCAAUGAAAUGAGAUGAGCAUGUAGGCAUGUAGGACACCAAUACAUGUGUUCAGUGUUGUUGAGUGUAUGUUGUUAACAUAGAUUUAGUGCUUUCUUAUGAGUAUUGUUUAGUAUUCCUUUAUGAACUUGUUGAGUCCUUGUACUCACCCUUGUUGCUUACAUGUUUUUAGGUAAACCAUGAAGAAAACAUGCAUGAGAGUCGUGGGGUAGCAGUAUCACCAUCUUCACUACAGGAAUAUCUCAUAUGUUAACUUCUGGCACCGUGUUUUGAGAGCUUGUAUGGCUUAUACCUUACUUCACAUGGUGGAUUGUCUUGGAAUUCGAGAUUUACGCUUUCGUUCUGUAUGGCUUAACUAAUUUCCACUAAGACGUACAUGAUCGCCUAGAGUUUUGAAGUGGCACUUGGUUAAUGUUGGUAUUGUAGCUUUGCGCUUUAUGCUUGUGUUUGGUUCCUUUUCAUACAUAAUCAUAUGAUUUGUGUGUCAUGGAUGUCCUUAGAUACAGAGAAAGC
rnacentral:lncRNA from 1 species